rnacentral:tRNA from 1 species
AGGGACAUAGCUCAGCAGUAGAGCACUUGCCUACCAUGUGCAAGGCCCUGGGUUCAAUCCCCAGCCCUG